UAGAUUUACUGAUUUACUAUUUAGAAUAGAUUCUAGAUUCUAGAAUCUACCAUGAAAUGGCUAUGCAUCUGCAGCAUAGAAUUAGAUUUAGUUAAAAAAGGACUUACUAGAUCUUAAAUCUAAAUCUACUACCUUUUAACUUUUAGGGCAGAAUAUUAGAUCUAGUCAUCUAGUCUAUAUGCCUAUCUAGUCACGUAACUGUAAACUAAUACUUAGACUUAGGACUUUGGACACUUUGAGUUGAAGAUAUCUACUUGGUAGUCUAAACCUCAAAGGAGCUUAGGGAAGUGAUGGCAGUUGCAGGGUAUGAACCAGACGACCAUGCAGAGACCAACGAGGCGACCAAACAGUCCAUCGUGCAUACCACAUAACCAGGUCCAGAAUGCCAGUUUUCUUUAAGGGCAGCUGACAAUAAGAAUUGUCUAUGUAUGCACUACAGAUGCUGUUCAAUAUCUUUUCAUGAGGAAGCCUGCUCAAAAAGAUCGCCACAUUUUCUUUAGGGGAAGUUGACAUUAAUCUUUUAGGUUAAUAAUAACCUAUGCAUGCAGUACAGAUGCUGUUCAUCAUCUUUUCAUAAGCAAGCCUGCUCAAGAAGCUGCUGCAUGGAAGUCAAAAUAUGAAUUAUUGCCACCAGUCUUGAAGUCAGCUUGUUAAGAAUGCUAAGAAUUGAAUGAAAAUGCUGUCUUGAUAUCUUGUUUGUGCUGUUAUAUUGGUCUUUUGUGUUGGUUAAUUAUUCCAUGAAUAAAAAAUAAAAAAAAGUUAAUUGUGUAAGUUUGAUUUAAGAAUAAAUGAUCAGAGCAUGCAAGUCUUAUAUAGUACGUUACCAAAAAUUGUAUUGUUUGAUAGUGUUCAAACCCAAAAAUGUAAUUUAACUUGUCCAUUACUUUAUAAAUAUGUUGACAUUAUAGCUAGAUGUAUAUAGAAAUCAUGCACUGAUUCAAUUAUUAUAAUUUCCAAAUAAUUCUAUUGCUAGAUCUAAAUCAUCAGUGUGAAAGUAGACCUAUGUAAAAGGUUAAAAAUCUCAUACUAAACCAUUGAGCUGCAUUUGAACAAAAAGGGCAUUAUAAACAAAAAAUCACUAAUGAAUUUGUUUUAAACUACAGUAUUGAAAAACAUUAAAGAUUAUUCCUAAUUAAGCCAUAAUAAAAUUUAAUGACUGAACCAUCGGAGACAGUAUUUGCAUGAUAAUACCUAAUUGAGCCCUAAUAAAUAUUUCAGUUACUAAACCAUUAGGGCCAGCAUCGGACCGAUAAUGGCACAAUAAGGGUUAUCCCUAAUUGAACCCUAAUUAAUAUUUCAAUUACUAAACCAUUAUGGCCAGCAUCGGACCGAUAUUGGCACAAUAAGGGUUAUCCCUAAUUGAACCCUAAUUAAUAUUUCAAUUACUAAACCAUUAGGGCCAGCAUUGGACCAAUAAUGGCACAAUAAGGGUUAUCCCUAAUUGAACCCUAAUUAAUAUUUCAAUUACUAAACCAUUAUGGCCAGCAUCGGACAGAUAUUGGCACAAUAAGGGUUAUCCCUAAUUAAACCCCAAUGAAAAUCUCAGUUACUAAACCAUUGGGGCUAGUAUGGGCUUGAUUAGGGCGCGAUUCUGGAAAUCCCCAAUGAAUCCGGAAGUGGGUUUACCCAUUCUGGGCCGAUAUUGGCACGAUUAGGGUAGCCCGUAUUGGUCCCUUAUGGGAACCUAAUGACGCCAAUGUGCAAACGGUAUGCGCGCCCAUUAGGGCGCGAUUUGGGCUAUUUAGGGCUGCAAUUAGGGCAAAGGGGGAUAACCCUAAUUAAAACUGAUACUGGGCCGUAAUGGGCAUGUUUAUAGGGUAACGUGGGGCAAAAAGCCCUUCGGGGUAAAAGGCCUUUCUUAAUUUUUGUGCGAAUGGCUUAUUGGAUGAUUCAAAUUAAGACUUCCUGAGAUAGCUUACUUCCGUUCUUUUAAUGCACGUUGAGCUUGAUGCAGUAGCUUGUCAAUUUAUCGUCACAGAUCACUUUGAAUUUUUCUACCUAUCUCACUAUAAGGUAAGGGCUCAUUUUAUUUGUCUGUAUUUUUAUUAUGUGUUAUUUUAUCCUUAAUUGUAAAUAUUCUUUGCAAAGGAUUUUCAAAGUAAAUCCUUAUAGAUGUUGCUAUACUCUAAAAGCGACAUUGUGAAAGUUAAUAUAUUGAUCGUUUCAACAUCACCUAUGUUGGGGUAAAACGCCCAUUUGAGUUGGGGGCAGGAAGCCUUUAUCGAAAUCUGGUCUUAAAAGAUCUAGAUCUAUAAAAUCUAGAAAUCUCUAUAUAAAAUUUAGACUUCAUUGUCGCUAGAUUUAAGUUAUUCUAGAUUUAUAUUAACUAGACUAGAUUCUAGAUCUAUAAUUGUAUAAUAUACAAAUAAUCUACAAAAUUCUAGAUUCUAGCCUGGAAUCUAGAUCUAAGAAUAAAUUAUUUUAAUUAUUAAUACAAGUUCAAUAGGUCUAAAAUGUAAAUUAGAAAAGUAUAUCUAAACUAGAACUAUUAUAAAUAAAUCUAAUAGAAUAUCUAGUCUAGAUCUAGUAGAUCUAUUUCUAUAUGUCUUGACUAUAAUACUAGAUCUAUAUCUUUAUAUUUUAUAUAAAUCUAUAAUAAUAAAUUUUUAUUCUGACUAGUGAUUUAGGGUAUUCUAGUCAAUCCAGAUGAGACAGCAAUUAGUAUGCGUAUUUGUGAUACUUAGAUUAGAAAGUAAUAGUAAGAUCUAUUACGGCUGUAGAUCUAGUCUAUAAAUUAUACCUUAUUAUUAAGUUUAACUAUAGAUAUAUAUUUUCUGUUUGUAAAAUGUUUCAGAUGUUCCUUCAGAGUUGAAGACCAAACCUCCCGCAGGAUGACAGGGGAUGGGAGCGGGCAGGGUUUGAACCCUGGACCACCGACAAAUCUGAACGACAGUCAUGCGCGCAAACCGCACGACCAAGCAGCCAUCCAUUUUCUAGAUCUUUAUUAUUUAUUCUACUUUUGCCUGCUAUGUUUGGAAUAUAUAUCUUUUGAGAUCCAUAAGCUUUUAAAGUUUAAAAUGUUCGCAAUUUAAUUUUUUUUAAUGGACCUCAUUCACCAAUCGUAAACAAACAACAUUUAGCCACGUGGCGCUCUAUCUCUUCUAUAUAAUUUAAGAUCUCAUGUUUAAUUCAUGAUGGUUGUCACGUUUGUAAAAUGUUUCAGAUGUUCCUUCAGAGUUGAAGACCAAACCUCCCGCAGGAUGACAGGGGAUGGGAGCGGGCAGGGUUUGAACCCUGGACCACCGACAAAUCUGAACGACAGUCAUGCGCGCAAACCGCACGACCAAGCAGCCAUCCAUUUUCUAGAUCUUUAUUAUUUAUUCUACUUUUGCCUGCUAUGUUUGGAAUAUAUAUCUUUUGAGAUCCAUAAGCUUUUAAAGUUUAAAAUGUUCGCAAUUUAAUUUUUUUUAAUGGACCUCAUUCACCAAUCGUAAACAAACAACAUUUAGCCACGUGGCGCUCUAUCUCUUCUAUAUAAUUUAAGAUCUCAUGUUUAAUUCAUGAUGGUUGUCACGUGACAGUUUUUCCUAUUGCUUUAUCGAUAAGAUCACGUGACUAAAUGUUGUUCGUUUAUGAUUGGUGAAUGAGGUCCAUUUUUAAUUUUAUUUUUUUCAUUUCAGAAAAUGGUAAGAAAUUACCAGAGAAAAACUCAAGGCUCGUAUGGACAACAAAACUUGACAGAAGCUUUAAAAGCUAUCGCUGAUGGGAUGCCACUUAACAAUGUCUCCGAAAAAAUUACAUUUAUAAUUAUUAAAUAUUUCACUUAUACUUUUUAAA